rnacentral:rRNA from 1 species
UACGUAGGGUGCAAGCGUUAAUCGGAAUUACUGGGCGUAAAGCGUGCGCAGGCGGUUUGCUAAGACCGAUGUGAAAUCCCCGGGCUUAACCUGGGAACUGCAUUGGUGACUGGCAGGCUAGAGUAUGGCAGAGGGGGGUAGAAUUCCACGUGUAGCAGUGAAAUGCGUAGAGAUGUGGAGGAAUACCGAUGGCGAAGGCAGCCCACUGGGCCAAUACUGACGCUCAUGCGCGAAAGCGUGGGGAGCAAACAGG